CAGCCGUAAACUAUGCGCGUUAGGUGUAUCGGUGACCACGAGUCACCGAGGUGCCGAAGGGAAACCGUGAAACGUGCCGCCUGGGAAGUACGGUCGCAAGGCUGAAACUUAAAGGAAUUGGCGGGGAGGCACCACAACAGGUGGAGCCUGCGGUUUAAUUUGGACUCAACGCCGGGAAGCUCACCGGAUAGGACAGCAGAAUGAUUGCCGGGCUGAAGACCCUGCAUGACUAGCUGAGAGGAGGUGCAUGGCGUAGACGUCU
rnacentral:rRNA from 1 species